GCUGGGCAUGGUAGCACAUGUCUGUAAUCCAAGUGACUUGGGAGGCUGAGGUAGGUGAAUCAUAAGUUUAAGACCAGCCUCAGAAACUUGUGGGGGCCCUAAGCAACUUAAUGAGACUAUCUCAA
rnacentral:sRNA from 1 species